rnacentral:tRNA from 1 species
UAGGGGCUUAGGACUAACAUAAACCGAGAGCCUUCAAAGCCCUAAAUAAGAGUCAUAUCCUCUUAGCCCCUGA